rnacentral:rRNA from 1 species
AAUUAGAUGUCCGCCCCAUCAAUUGUUGACGGUGAGGUAGUGGCUUACCGUGGUUACAACGGGUAACGGGGAAUCAGGGUUCGAUUCCGGAGAGGGAGCAUGAGAAAUGGCUGCCAGAUCUAUGGAUUGCAGCAGGUGCGAAAAUUAUCCACUUUUGGCAUAAAGAGAUAGUGAUGAUAAAUAACGGAUCUGGGCAUUUGUUCAGAGAUCGUAAUGAAAUAAUCGUAAAAGCUUUAAUGAACGCAAUUGGAGGGCAAGUCUGGUGCCAGCAGCCGCGGCAAUUCCAGUUCCAAUAGUGUAUACUAAAGUUGCUGCAGUUGAAAAGCUCGUAGUUGGAUCUCGGCUUGCUAGCGCGCAAAGCGCGAAAGUAGGCCUUUGCUGUAGUUGAGUGCUACGGCUUUACCUUGAACAAAAUAGAGUGCUUAAGGCAAGCAUUCUGCUUGAAUAUCUCAGCAUGGAAUAAUAGAAAAAGACUUUUCUGUUGGUUUACCAGUAGUAAAAGUAAUGAUUAACAGAGACAGACGGGGGCAUUCGUAUUGCACCGCUAGAGGUGAAAUUCGUAGAUCGGUGCAGGACGAACUACAGCGAAAGCAUUUGCCAAGGAUGUUUUCAUUAAUCAAGAACGAAAGUUGGAGUAUCGAAGUCGAUUAGAUCUCGUCGUAGUUCCAACUAUAAACGAUGCCAACUAGCACUCCGCUAAUAAGAUUUUGACAUUAGCGGGUUGCUUCCGGGAAACCAAAGUCUUUGGGCUCCGGGGGAAGUAUGGUUGCAAAGCUGAAACUUAAAGGAAUUGACGGAAGGGCACCACCAGGAGUGGAGCCUGCGGCUCAAUUUGACUCAACACAGAAAAACUCACCCGGGCCGAACACAGUAAGGAUUGACAGACUGAUAGCUUUUUCUUGAUACUGUGGGUAGUGGUGCAUGGCCGUUGUUGGUUGGUGGAGUGAUCUGUCUGGUUAAUUCCGAUAACGAACGAGACUCAAGCCUACUUAUUAGUUGUUUGAUUGUUGGUCGAUCAACUACUUAGAGGGAUCAGUGUUUAAAACACUUGAAAAUGAGCAAUAACAGGUCUGUGAUUGCCCUUAGACGUUCGGGGCUGCACGCGCGCUACAAUGAAGAAAGCAGUGGGUGUCUUGCUUGGCAAAGCAAGCUGAGCCUUAAAAUUUCUUCGUGACAGGGAUCGAGGCUUGUAAUUAUUCCUCGUGCACAAGGA